AAGGUUAAGCCUCACGGUUCAUUAGUACCGGUUAGCUCAACGCAUCGCUGCGCUUACACACCCGGCCUAUCAACGUCGUCGUCUUCAACGUUCCUUCAGGACCCUUAAAGGGUCAGGGAGAACUCAUCUCGGGGCAAGUUUCGUGCUUAGAUGCUUUCAGCACUUAUCUCUUCCGCAUUUAGCUACCGGGCAGUGCCAUUGGCAUGACAACCCGAACACCAGUGAUGCGUCCACUCCGGUCCUCUCGUACUAGGAGCAGCCCCCCUCAGUUCUCCAGCGCCCACGGCAGAUAGGGACCGAACUGUCUCACGACGUUCUAAACCCAGCUCGCGUACCACUUUAAAUGGCGAACAGCCAUACCCUUGGGACCUACUUCAGCCCCAGGAUGUGAUGAGCCGACAUCGAGGUGCCAAACACCGCCGUCGAUAUGAACUCUUGGGCGGUAUCAGCCUGUUAUCCCCGGAGUACCUUUUAUCCGUUGAGCGAUGGCCCUUCCAUUCAGAACCACCGGAUCACUAUGACCUGCUUUCGCACCUGCUCGCGCCGUCACGCUCGCAGUCAAGCUGGCUUAUGCCAUUGCACUAACCUCCUGAUGUCCGACCAGGAUUAGCCAACCUUCGUGCUCCUCCGUUACUCUUUAGGAGGAGACCGCCCCAGUCAAACUACCCACCAGACACUGUCCGCAACCCGGAUUACGGGUCCACGUUAGAACAUCAAACAUUAAAGGGUGGUAUUUCAAGGCCGGCUCCAUGCAGACUGGCGUCCACACUUCAAAGCCUCCCACCUAUCCUACACAUCAAGGCUCAAUGUUCAGUGUCAAGCUAUAGUAAAGGUUCACGGGGUCUUUCCGUCUUGCCGCGGGUACACUGCAUCUUCACAGCGAGUUCAAUUUCACUGAGUCUCGGGUGGAGACAGCCUGGCCAUCAUUACGCCAUUCGUGCAGGUCGGAACUUACCCGACAAGGAAUUUCGCUACCUUAGGACCGUUAUAGUUACGGCCGCCGUUUACCGGGGCUUCGAUCAAGAGCUUCGCUUGCGCUGACCCCAUCAAUUAACCUUCCGGCACCGGGCAGGCGUCACACCGUAUACGUCCACUUUCGUGUUUGCACAGUGCUGUGUUUUUAAUAAACAGUUGCAGCCAGCUGGUAUCUUCGACUGAUUUCAGCUCCAUCCGCGAGGGACUUCACCUACAUAUCAGCGUGCCUUCUCCCGAAGUUACGGCACCAUUUUGCCUAGUUCCUUCACCCGAGUUCUCUCAAGCGCCUUGGUAUUCUCUACCUGACCACCUGUGUCGGUUUGGGGUACGAUUGAUGUUACCUGAUGCUUAGGGGCUUUUCCUGGAAGCAGGGCAUUUGUUGCUUCAGCACCGUAGUGCCUCGUCAUCACGCCUCAGCCUUGAUUUUCCGGAUUUGCCUGGAAAAUCAGCCUACACGCUUAAACCGGGACAACCGUCGCCCGGCCAACAUAGCCUUCUCCGUCCCCCCUUCGCAGUAACACCAAGUACAGGAAUAUUAACCUGUUUCCCAUCGACUACGCCUUUCGGCCUCGCCUUAGGGUCGACUCACCCUGCCCCGAUUAACGUUGGACAGGAACCCUUGGUCUUCCGGCGAGCGGGCUUUUCACCCGCUUUAUCGUUACUUAUGUCAGCAUUCGCACUUCUGAUACCUCCAGCAUGCCUCACAGCACACCUUCACAGGCUUACAGAACGCUCCCCUACCCAACAACGCAUAAGCGUCGCUGCCGCAGCUUCGGUGCAUGGUUUAGCCCCGUUACAUCUUCCGCGCAGGCCGACUCGACCAGUGAGCUAUUACGCUUUCUUUAAAUGAUGGCUGCUUCUAAGCCAACAUCCUGGCUGUCUGGGCCUUCCCACAUCGUUUCCCACUUAACCAUGACUUUGGGACCUUAGCUGGCGGUCUGGGUUGUUUCCCUCUUCACGACGGACGUUAGCACCCGCCGUGUGUCUCCCGUGAUAACAUUCUCCGGUAUUCGCAGUUUGCAUCGGGUUGGUAAGUCGGGAUGACCCCCUUGCCGAAACAGUGCUCUACCCCCGGAGAUGAAUUCACGAGGCGCUACCUAAAUAGCUUUCGGGGAGAACCAGCUAUCUCCCGGUUUGAUUGGCCUUUCACCCCCAGCCACAAGUCAUCCGCUAAUUUUUCAACAUUAGUCGGUUCGGUCCUCCAGUUAGUGUUACCCAACCUUCAACCUGCCCAUGGCUAGAUCACCGGGUUUCGGGUCUAUACCCUGCAACUUAACGCCCAGUUAAGACUCGGUUUCCCUUCGGCUCCCCUAUUCGGUUAACCUUGCUACAGAAUAUAAGUCGCUGACCCAUUAUACAAAAGGUACGCAGUCACCCCAUAAAGAGGCUCCCACUGCUUGUACGUACACGGUUUCAGGUUCUUUUUCACUCCCCUCGCCGGAGUUCUUUUCGCCUUUCCCUCACGGUACUGGUUCACUAUCGGUCAGUCAGGAGUAUUUAGCCUUGGAGGAUGGUCCCCCCAUAUUCAGACAGGAUACCACGUGUCCCGCCCUACUCAUCGAGCUCACAGCAUGUGCAUUUUUGUGUACGGGGCUGUCACCCUGUAUCGCGCGCCUUUCCAGACGCUUCCACUAACACACACACUGAUUCAGGCUCUGGGCUGCUCCCCGUUCGCUCGCCGCUACUGGGGGAAUCUCGGUUGAUUUCUUUUCCUCGGGGUACUUAGAUGUUUCAGUUCUCCCGGUUCGCCUCAUUAACCUAUGGAUUCAGUUAAUGAUAGUGUGUCGAAACACACUGGGUUUCCCCAUUCGGAAAUCGCCGGUUAUAACGGUUCAUAUCACCUUACCGACGCUUAUCGCAGAUUAGCACGUCCUUCAUCGCCUCUGACUGCCAGGGCAUCCACCGUGUACGCUUAGUCGCUUAA
rnacentral:rRNA from 1 species